rnacentral:tRNA from 1 species
GCCUAGGUAGCUCAGUGGUAGAGCUCUGCUCUGAAGAAGCAGGAGUCCGGUGUUCGAUUCACCGCCUAGGCACUA